rnacentral:rRNA from 1 species
AGUGAACGCUGGCGGUAGGCCUAACACAUGCGAGUCGAACGGCAGCACAGUAAGAGCUUGCUCUUACGGGUGGCGAGUGGCGGACGGGUGAGGAAUACAUCGGAAUCUACUUUUUCGUGGGGGAUAACGUAGGGAAACUUACGCUAAUACCGCAUACGACCUACGGGUGAAAGCAGGGGAUCUUCGGACCUUGCGCGAUUGAAUUAGCCGAUGUCGGAUUAGCUAGUUGGCGGGGUAAAGGCCCACCAAGGCGACGAUCCGUAGCUGGUCUGAGAGGAUGAUCAGCCACACUGGAACUGAGACACGGUCCAGACUCCUACGGGAGGCAGCAGUGGGGAAUAUUGGACAAUGGGCGCAAGCCUGAUCCAGCCAUACCGCGUGGGUGAAGAAGGCCUUCGGGUUGUAAAGCCCUUUUGUUGGGAAAGAAAAGCAGCAGGUUAAUACCCCGCUGUUCUGACGGUACCCAAAGAAUAAGCACCGGCUAACUUCGUG